rnacentral:rRNA from 1 species
UACGUAGGGGGCAAGCGUUGUCCGGAAUCAUUGGGCGUAAAGAGCGUGUAGGCGGCUUGGUAAGUCCGCUGUGAAAGUCCAGGGCUCAACCCUGGAAUGCCGGUGGAAACUGUCAGGCUCGAGUCCGGAAGAGGCGAGUGGAAUUCCUGGUGUAGCGGUGAAAUGCGCAGAUAUCAGGAGGAACACCAAUGGCGAAGGCAGUGGUCUGGGCCGGAACUGACGCUGAAUAGCGAAAGCGUGGGUAGCGAACAGG